rnacentral:rRNA from 1 species
CUAAGGCUCCAGAGGAAGCCACGGCUAACUCUGUGCCAGCAGCCGCGGUAAUACAGGGGCGGCAAGCGUUGUUCGGAAUUAUUGGGCGUAAAGAGCACGUAGGCGGCCUUGCAAGUCAGUUGUGAAAGCCUUCCGCUUAACGGAAGAAUGCCAGCUGAUACUACAGGGCUUGAGUACGGGAGGGGAGAGUGGAACUUCUGGUGGAGCGGUGAAAUGCGUAGGUAUCAGAAGGAACGCCGGCGGCGAAAGCGACUCUCUGGCCCGAAACUGACGCUGAGUGUGCGAAAGCUAGGGGAGCAAACGGGAUUAGAUACCCCGGUAGUCCUAGCCGUAAA